rnacentral:lncRNA from 1 species
GGAGGACGUCCGCCGAGUCUCCCCGCGCUAGUCCCCAGCUCGCUCGCCCGCUCCGCACCGCUGCUCCUCCUCUCCCGCCGCCGUCCCCAGGGGGCGCCGUUCCCGAGAUCAGGACCGACUCCUGCGAGUCAGGCUCCUGUCGUGGCCCUGGCGCCUCGGAAAAAGUUCCGAGGUCCAGAGAAGACCCUCCUCAAGUCACAAGAGAUUCCCCCCUAAAAAAGUGUAAAAGUAAUUGUUUUACUUUACAAUUCUGA